rnacentral:rRNA from 1 species
GAUGAACGCUGGCGGCGUGCCUAAUACAUGCAAGUCGAGCGAAGCGGGGACGGGUGAGUAAUACGUGGAUAACCUCCUAUAAGACUGGGAUAACUCUGGGAAACCGGAGUUAUACUGGAAACUUAUAGCUGGAUCAGCGCUGCAUUAGCUAGUUGGUAAGGUAACGGCUUACCAAGGCAACGAUGCAUAGCCGACCUGAGAGGGUUAUCAGCCACGCUGGAACUGAGACACGGUCCAGACUCCUACGGGAGGCAGCAGUAGGGAAUCUUCCGCAAUGGGCGAAAGCCUGACGUAGCAACGCCGCGUGAGUGAUGAAGGUCUUCGGAUCGUAAAACUCUGUUAGUAGGGAAGCGUUACCCAAUCAGAAAGCCACGGCUAACUACGUGCCAGCAGCCGCGGUAAUAC